CGCCUUGGCCUUCCCCAUACGCAGCCUCUGCUCCAUCACCGCCGAGUACCAACGCGAGAAAUGCCUCUGCAGACACUGCCACGCCAACGCUCGGCUUCUUCAAGUUCUACUCUAUAGCUGUGACUUUUGAGUGGAUAUGGAUUUAGAAGGCGGGGCCUGGCCUGGUGAGUGAUCCCUGGUGUGAAUCAAAGAUUCAGUUGGCGCUUUACCUGCCGGUGGCGCAGCUCCAUGGUGACGACAGGGUCCGUGAAGGUCCUGUUGGUUCCGCCGC